rnacentral:miRNA from 1 species
GCAGAGAACAAAGGACUCAGU